rnacentral:lncRNA from 1 species
GAGUGGUCAGGUGACUUUCCCUUACUCCUGAGCUGUCUGGAUCUCUCAGUACCUGACGGAAUCAAUGGCAGGGAGGGGCUCAUUUUGUGUGUUUGUGCUUCUCUCGAUGCCAAAGAGCAAAUGAAGACGUCUUGGAAAAGAAGCAAAGAUUUUUAUGGUCAUAUUGGAGAGUGAGCCUCAUGCUGUGAUAGAAGCAGCAGGAAGCCAUCCUGUCCUGUCCUGUAGGAGCCACAGUGAAAGGAAAAAUACUCUUUCCACGUGCUCCCAUAUCUGUUAGCAGAGCACAAAAAUGAGUUGGACAGAACGUGCAGAGGCUCUGAACAGUGCCCAGCAUGACGUAAGGUGUUCUGUGCCCGGCCUCCAUCUUGGUCUGAGAAUUGAGAGCAAUGGUAGAGGGUGUAGGAUGGGCAGAGAUGUUAUGAGAUGCCCUUCGGUGGGCAAAGAGAAUAUGGCAGGGGGUGGCCUUUUGGCGGGCAGCAGAAGAAUUGAUGUAAAGGCACAAGCCAGCAGUUGUUUUUACAGUCAGAGGUGGUUGAGUGGAAAAUAAAAUUUAAACUGGGUGUGGUGGUAAAUGCCUUUAAUCCCUGCACUUGGGAGUCAGAAAGACCCUGAGUACAAGGUCAGCCUUCAACUACAAGGUCUAUGGAGUGCAUUUCCAGGACAGCCAGGGCUGCACUGAGAAACCCUGUCACAAAGAGAGAAGAAAAGAGAAACAAAAG